AACGAACGCUGGCGGCAGGCUUAACACAUGCAAGUCGAACGCUGUAGCAAUACAGAGUGGCGCACGGGUGAGUAACGCGUGGGAACGUGCCCUUUGGUACGGAAUAACGUCGGGAAACUGACGCUAAUACCGUAUACGCCCUUCGUGGGAAAGAUUUAUCGCCAAAGGAUCGGCCCGCGUCAGAUUAGCUAGUUGGUGGGGUAAUGGCCUACCAAGGCUCCGAUCUGUAGCUGGUCUGAGAGGAUGACCAGCCACACUGGAACUGAGACACGGUCCAGACUCCUACGGGAGGCAGCAGUGGGGAAUAUUGGACAAUGGGGGAAACCCUGAUCCAGCCAUGCCGCGUGAAUGAUGAAGGCCUUAGGGUUGUAAAGUUCUUUUGCAGGGGACGAUGAUGACGGUACCCUGAGAAUAAGCUCCGGCUAACUUCGUGCCAGCCGCCGCAGUAA
rnacentral:rRNA from 1 species